UUAAUCAGUGCCUCACAACCAUUGGCAUAUCAACAUUGACCCCGCGGGAUAGAACAUUAAACAUUAUCAUGUGGAAGACGGCUCUUCUAAGAAGAUUGACUAAUAUAGCUGGAUUUUUUUGAGAUUAUUAUUAGAAAAAUAUUGAAGAGGGGCCGUCCAAAUUCGCAGUCCCUUCCAAAUUCGCAGAAUUGUGUGUUCUUCUUCAUCCAAUCAUCAGCACAUAAGAGAUCGGCACUGCAGAAAUGGAUGCACCAUCACAGCAAGAGAUGUCAUACUAUGAUCACGUUAAGAGACGCCACGAGGACAAAGGCUGCCUCUAUGCCUUCUUCUUCGCUCUAUGUUGCUGCUGUUGCUGCAGUGAAACUUGUGACGGUGAAACUUUCAGUAAAACUUUUGAGUACUGUGUGCAUCUGUGUGCAGUGUCGCUGCUGUGCUUAGAUCAUUAGUCCAAGGAAUGGAAGUAGUAUGAACUUUUCCCCUGAA